GCCUGGGUGGCUCAGUCGGUUAAGCGUCUGACUUCGGCUCAGGUCACGAUCUCGCGGUCCGUGAGUUCGAGCCCCGCAUCAGGCU
rnacentral:tRNA from 1 species